GUUUAGUGUUUUGCAUUUGCACAAUGGUUACAGGGUUUCUCUGGUUUUCCCCAACGGAUUUUCUACUGAGCAUCAUCAUGAACAAUGUUUCUGCUGUUUUCACUUCUGCGGUGUUGAGCUUCUUCGUCUUCACAGCUUUCCUCCUGAUAGUUCAAUGGCAGAAACAAUCUUAACAUCUCCAGGAAAUUUUC